AAGCAGAACGACCCGUGAACACGUGGAAGGAUCAUUGCCGAGACCCCGACGGACGACCGAACCGUCACCCGCGAGCGAACGACCCGCGGAGGCCCCGCCCCCGGCGCGGCCCCCGCGGACGGACAAACCCCCGGCGCGGCAAAGCGCCAAGGAACAUACGCCGAGCGGGCGCGGUUCGGCGCCCCGGCGGGGCGCCCCCGCGCCGCGAGACGCGAUCGAGGAAUAACGGCACCACGACUCUCGGCAACGGAUAUCUCGGCUCUCGCAUCGUUGUAAAACGACGGCCAGUAUGCGAUACUUGGUGUGAAUUGCAGAAUCCCGCGAACCAUCGAGUCUUUGAACGCAAGUUGCGCCCGAGGCCCCCGGGCCGAGGGCACGCCUGCCUGGGCGUCACGCCCCGCGCAGCUCCGCCCGCCCCGCGACCCGGGCGCGGCCGGACGCCGAGACUGGCCCCCCGCGCCGACCGGCGCGGCGGGCCCAAGUGCGGGCCGCCGGCGGGCGCCGGACACGACGAGUGGUGGAAGCCCCCGCGUCGUGGCUCCCGGCCCGCGACGGCGCAGCCAGCAGCGAGCCCCCAGACCGCGGCGGCGGCCUCCGUCCGCGGACGGAGAGACGCCCCGCCCCGGACCGCGACCCCAGGUCAGGCGGGACCACCCGCCGAAUUUAAGCAUAUCAAUAAGCGGAGGAGUCAUAG
rnacentral:rRNA from 1 species